rnacentral:SRP_RNA from 1 species
GCCAGGCGUGGUGGCGCGUGUCUGUAGUCCCAGCUACUCGGGAGGCUGAGGCUGGAGGACCUCUUGAGUCCAGGAGUUCUGGGCUGUAGUGCGCUAUGCCGAUCGGUUGUCUGCACCAAGUUCGGCAUAAAUAUGGUGACCUCCUGGGAGCGGGGGACCACCAGGUUGCCUAAGGAGGGGUGAACCGGCCCAGGUCGGAACAGGAGCAGGUCAAAACUCCUGUGCUGAUCAGUAGUGGGAUCAUGCCUGUGAAUAGCCACUGCACUACAGCCUGGGCAACAUAGCGAGACCCUGUUUCU